rnacentral:rRNA from 1 species
UACAGAGGUCUCAAGCGUUGUUCGGAUUCAUUGGGCGUAAAGGGCGCGUAGGCGGCAUGUUAAGUCGGCUGUGAAAGCCUGGGGCUCAACCCCAGAGGGUCGGCCGAUACUGGCAAGCUAGAGUACGGAAGAGGUAGCUGGAAUUCCCGGUGUAGCGGUGAAAUGCGUAGAUAUCUGGAGGAACACCGGUGGCGAAGGCGACAUCCUGGACCGGCAUUGACGCUGAGGCGCGAAAGCCAGGGGAGCAAACGGG